CAGGUGCUGCAUGGCUGUCGUCAGCUCGUGUCGUGAGGUGUUGGGUUAAGUCCGUAACGAGCGCAACCCUUGUCCUUAGUUACCAGCACGUUAUGGUGGGCACUCUAAGGAGACUGCCGGUGACAAACCGGAGGAAGGUGGGGAUGACGUCAAGUCAUCAUGGCCCUUACGGCCUGGGCUACACACGUGCUACAAUGGUCGGUACAAAGGGUUGCCAAGCCGCGAGGUGGAGCUAAUCCCAUAAAACCGAUCGUAGUCCGGAUCGCAGUCUGCAACUCGACUGCGUGAAGUCGGAAUCGCUAGUAAUCGUGAAUCAGAAUGUCACGGUGAAUACGUUCCCGGGCCUU
rnacentral:rRNA from 1 species